rnacentral:rRNA from 1 species
UACAGAGGGGGCAAGCGUUAUUCGGAAUUACUGGGCGUAAAGCGCGCGUAGGCGGUUUGAAAAGUCAGAUGUGAAAGCCCCGGGCUCAACUUGGGAACUGCAUUUGAUACUGUCAGACUAGAGUACAGAAGAGGUGACUGGAAUUCCCAGUGUAGCGGUGAAAUGCGUAGAUAUUGGGAGGAACACCAGAUGCGAAGGCGGGUCACUGGGCUGAUACUGACGCUGAAGUGCGAAAGCCAGGGGAGCGAACGGG